CUAAUCCGAGAUCGAGCCCGGUCGAAGAAAAGUUGCAUUGCUUUGGUAUUCUCAAGGAAUGCUCGUAAGGAGUGCAGGAGAGCAUACUGAUAUGGGCAGCAUGAACCGCAGUGGAUUUUGUAGGAAAAUUGCAGUGCCAGGUUCAUCAUCACAACAACUAUUGGAGCCGUUUUUGGAUAUUUUGUCGGUGUUUCGUUUCCAUCGGUUUCUCUUUACACGAUUCAAAACAUACCUCCAACCCUUGGACAGUCUGUU